CAUGUAUGCUAUCUAUGUCUUGUCUCGAGAGCUAGUCAGGGCUCGAUGAUAAACCUAUUUUUGGAACAUUUAUGCUAGACUGCUUUAUUUUCUGUUGUUUCAUGAGAUUAAAAACUCAUCAUACCUGCUCUCCGCUCUCCUGGUUCUUGCAUUCUGCUGUCACACAACGGCAGCCAUGCGAGUUCCCAACAGAAUUAUUAUUAUUAUAAGUGUUUCCCCCACACUCUUUGGACCCCUGUGCUGCAGGAGGAAACAACAGAACUGCAUCAAGACCCCCUGCGGCGCCCGGCUUAGUCAGUGUAACAAGAAGUUAACAAUGGAAAAUGUAAAGAACAACCAAACACUCCGUCUUGGUUAGCAGGAAAGUGAUGCUGGAGUCAUACUGCUUUGGGUCCUCUUAAUUCAGGGUCGAGGACCAUCGAGAAAACUGCGGCCCGCAGGAGAAAGGACCCAUUGAUUCCCCAAAGGAAUCAUUUUAGUGGAGAGCUGGGGAGAGCUAUUAGCUGCUUCUCUAACCCUGUGAUCCAUGACUGUCAUCCCAUCCACCCUCAAAAACAUCUUAAUCUAAUGAUAUUGCCUCUAUAGGCCAACUAUAAGUUGAUUAAAACAACAUUGUCUUGCAGGAAACAGCCGUACUUUCCUGUCAGGUCUGAAUUCCUGUCCUCUCAGGAGAAAG